GAUGAAGAACGCAGCGAAAUGCGAUAAGUAAUGUGAAUUGCAGAAUUCAGUGAAUCAUCGAAUCUUUGAACGCACAUUGCGCCCGCCAGCAUUCUGGCGGGCAUGCCUGUUCGAGCGUCAUUUCAACCCUCGAGCCCCCCCGGGGGCCUCGGUGUUGGGGGUCGGCACACCAGCCGCCCCCGAAAUGCAGUGGCGACCUCGCCGCAGCCUCCCCUGCGUAGUAGCGCACACCUCGCACCGGAGCGCGGAGACGGUCACGCCGUAAAACGCCCAACUUCUUAGAGUUGACCUCGGAUCAGGUAGGAAUACCCGCUGAACUUAAGCAUAUCAAUAAGCGGAGGA
rnacentral:misc_RNA from 1 species